rnacentral:lncRNA from 1 species
AUAAAACUAAAUUAAGCUUAAAAAAGCCCCAAUUUCAACUGAACCAAGAUCAUCAUCCCCAAACACAGAUCCCAACAAACCCAUCAUCAGUACAGCUAUUUCUAACUACAUAUAUAGCAAAUGAAGCAACGAUUAAGCUCUAAUAACGAAAAAAUUUCAGAACCCUAAUUUUAACAUUUGGGGAUAAAGACUGCAGCCUUAAGCAGUAAAAGCCUUAGAUCGAAACACCAAAAUAAGAAAAUACCAGAUAUCAGUUUCCAGAGAUGACCGUUGAAGCUCGCCUAUGAACGGCCGGCGAAGAAGUCCGAUGAGGAGAUUAGUAGUAAUUUGUUAUCGAGGUUUAUAUAUAUAUAUAAU